AUGAACAUUUCUCAAACCUUAUUAAUAAGAAAAUGGGGAGCUGGAACUCCCACUCCCACCACGGUAAGGAGGGGUCCCUCCCACCAUGGUCUGUCAACAGAGACUGCUUGGAGAGCCCAGACACUACCUCCACCUAGCAGGAACAGAGCAGGGAUCUCAAUAGAGAGCCGGAGAUGGAAAUCGCGAAGAGCUGGGAGCCCUGCUCUCACAGGCGGGACAAAAGGUCAGAACCAGCACCGAAGCAAAUCAAAACUCAGACCAGAGGAAAGGAUGGGAAACUAUCUAUGUUCAGCUGAGGCGAACAGGCGUUCUCUCAGAAUGACAUCCCGGCCAGGAACUUUAAAAAUAACAUUGCCCUUCCGAGGCUGCCCCCGCUCCGGAACCAGACCGCGGCGCGGGCGCGCGGUCCCGGCGGCGGCUGGGGGCUGGAGAUGCCGCAGCCUGAGGCCCGGGGCCGGGAGCGCGGGGUGCGGGCCGGUAGCGCGGCUCCUUGGGGCCCCGGGGUGCGGCUUUCGGGGACGGGGAGCCGGGAGGGCGCGUCCGGGAGAGGCUUAACAUGGAGCCUCAGAAGGAACGCCUAUAAUUCGCGCAGGGCCCACCGUGUCCCGCCGCCAGCGCCGCCGCGCGGGACCUUCGCCGCGCGAGGACAAGGGGCCGGGCGCGGGCGGGCGGUGUGUGGUCCCCACACCGCGGAGCCGCCCGUCGCCGCCGCCCGCCAGCCCGCGCGGCAGGGGCCAGCCGCCCGCGCGCUCCCCGAACGCUCUCCUGGGUUGAGGCCGGCGCUGCCCCGCCGCGUGGGACAGGAGGGCGGCCCGCCAGGGCGACAGAGCUCGUCUUCAAGAACUGUUAAAUGCUCUCAGAUAUAAUUUUGCAUGAAAGUGUUAAAACAAUAUAAAAGUGAAAGUCGCACACUCGUGUCCGACUCUUUGCUACCCCAUGGACUAUACAGUUGAUGGAAUUCUCCAGGUCAGAGCAAUGGAGCCUUUCCCUUCUCCAGCGGAUCUUCCCAACCCAGGGAUGGAACCCAGGUCUCCCGCAAUGCGGGCGGAUUCUUUACUGUCUGAACCACCAGGGGAAGCCCUGGUGGACAAGAUUAUUUAUAACAUUUUGAAUGAAAAAUGCUUUUGAUCAGUUUCAUAAGGAGGAAAACAAAUCACAGUGAUAAGCUCCACUGUUCUCUAAAAUACAGAUAUUUGCUGGAAAGCAGAUGUUCACAGGUUAGUGGCACGGAAUGAGCCUCUCAGAGAAGAUUCUUUUAGAGACCUGGGUUACUAGAAUUAUUGGAGUAGAAUGGUUAAGAGGCUUCUCUGAAAGAGAAACCCUCUCUGCCAUAUUUCAAAUAACUGUAGAAAGAAGAAACGAGCAUUUCAAAGUGCAUUUUCUUCUAGGAAAUUCAAAAUGCAUUCUAAGAAUGGGCUAGUUACUUCAUUUUUGCACGAGAAGAAAAUUAAUUUUCUUUUAAUAAUAGAAUCACUGAACAGCCAUGCCUAAAAAUAAUAACAACCAGCAUUUCAAAUCUUUUUAGUGUCCCUAGGCAGAAGGCUCAGAGAAGGCAAUGGCACCCCACUCCAGUACUCUUGCCUGGAAAAUCCCAUGGACGGAGGAGCCUGGUGGGCUGCAGUCCAUGGGGUCGCUACGAGUCAGACAGGACUGAGCAACUUCACUUUCACUUUUCACUUUCAUGCAUUGGAGGAGGAAAUGGCAAUCCACUCCAGUAUUCUUGCCUGGACAAUCUCAGAGACCGGGGAGCCUGGUGCGCUGCCGUCUAUGGGGUCGCACAGAGUCAGACACAACUGAGGCGACUUAGCAGUAGCAGUAGCAGCAGGCAGAAGGCUACUGGCAAGCAAAUGGAACUCGGUAAUUAACAAGCAUUUUGUUCUGGUCAGACUGUAUGUUGAAUAAAGUCCAUCUUUCAUUUACUCA
rnacentral:lncRNA from 1 species